rnacentral:misc_RNA from 1 species
UCUCCGUCCAGCAGCAGCGAUUCUCUCACUUCAUUCCUAAGUUUCUUUUCCCCAAAGGAUUUUGUGCUCUCUUCUUCGUCUUCGUUUUUGUUGCGAAUCGUUUCUAGGGUUUUGCGUGGCUUUGAAGUAGGAAUGGAUUGGGGUAACGUAACAGCAGAGGAUCUGAUCGAUGCCCUUCGCGAGGUCGACUGGUCAUCGCCUCCGCGCCCUCUUUCAGAGUUCUUUUCCCGAUUCACCGUCCCCAAAUCUUCUGCCAAAUGGAACAGUCGCCUCAAGUGCAAUCUCUACUACUAUCGGACUAACUACUUCAUUAUGAUCGUUCUCAUUCUGGGACUGGGUUUUCUUAGGCGGCCACUUGCUAUAGUGGCAGCUCUUUUAACAGCACUUAGCAUUGCAUUUCUGAAUGACAGCUUUGCAGGUACUUUUAGUGAGAAGGUGACAAGAACUGUUAGGCAAUUCUCUCCUCAUUUAGCAGCUAAAAUGAGACCUCCUCUUACACCUGUUAUCCGUGGACGUCCAUCAGCUAAGAGAGCAAUUCAUAUAUGCGGUCGGCCCCGUUGGGUUUUUGUCCUGAUGUUCUCUUCUGUGAGUUUCAUCCUUUGGUAUGUCUCUUGUGGUCUAUUGACUGUCCUAUGGGCGCUUGCCAUUGGUCUUCUUGCCACAAUCCUACAUGCAAGUUUUAGAACACCUAAUCUGAAAGCUCGUCUAAACACAUUCCGUGAAGAAUUUCGUGCUGUUUGGCGGAAUUACAGUGAGCUGUAGCUUUGAUGGAGCUUACUGCAUGCAGGUAAAUCUGAGUUGAAUUAUCUUUGAAGCCAGGCAUAUAGAUGAAUUUAGGCUUAUUAUUUUCCAUGCAUGAUAGUAGCUGUGAAUUCUUGCCCUUGUUGAAAUUUUACUGUCCUGUUACUUGUAUUUGGAAAUUGUCCAUUAGGGUUAAUAUUUAGAUUUUUUUGGGUAUUUGAAAAGUUCUUUCAAUGUCUUAUUGCCACUAAGGUGGAGUAUUUGUAUGCCAGUAUUUGUUUGUAUGGCUGAUACCAGGGUUGAUUGUUUUGAAAUUAGGAAUAAUUAUGUUCAUAUAGAUUUUUUUUUUCACCCAUUGCUGUUAAAGUACAACUUACGCACGAGGCCAGGGAUUAAUUGCUUUCCUACCCUUGAGCUUGCUGCCUUCACCCAGUUGCAUAUGAGGUGACACCUUACUUGUGGAUUUAGCUGCAAAAUUGCUUGUCUUGAGAGGGGGAAAAAGAGAAGAAAAGGAGGAACAAAGGUAUCAAGGACAGAUUGCAGAUCAAGAAAUGCUCCUCCCUCUAUCUAACAUUGCCAGCUUCUUUCAAUUCCUUGCCUGUCUAGUAUUCUUGGCCUUGGCCCUUGUUGAGAAUUAUGGACCCAGGAAUGUGAAUAUCAAAUUGGAAGGCUACACGUUGAACUAGGCAUGAAACUGGGCUCCUUUAUCACCAAAAUGGCUUUAGGCCAUUUUGGUUUGGUUUCCCAACAUGUAUACCCCCUUUAAUUUUCUUUUACACUGCUGAUAUGGGACUUGUUCCAGCAAGUGAUAUUUCAACACUCCCCUCAAGUGACAAUCGUGACAUUCUGUUGAUACUUGAAACUUGAAAUUGAAAUGCAGUGGCAACACUGGAAAUUGAACUAAAACUGGAAUCGGGCCCUAACCUGCAUUGAUGCCGUGUUGAGAAUAAUGGACCCAGGAGUGUGAAUAUCA